rnacentral:rRNA from 1 species
CGGCGGACGGGUGAGUAACGCGUGGGUAACCUGCCUCAUACAGGGGGAUAACAGUUAGAAAUGACUGCUAAUACCGCAUAAGACCACGGUACCGCAUGGUACAGUGGUAAAAACUCCGGUGGUAUGAGAUGGACCCGCGUCUGAUUAGGUAGUUGGUGGGGUAACGGCCCACCAAGGCGACGAUCAGUAGCCGACCUGAGAGGGUGACCGGCCACAUUGGGACUGAGACACGGCCCAG